UUGGAGGGCAAGUCUGGUGCCAGCAGCCGCGGUAAUUCCAGCUCCAAUAGCGUAUAUUAAAGUUGUUGCAGUUAAAAAGCUCGUAGUUGAAUUUCGGGGUUAGUAGGUUGGUCAUGCCUCUGGUAUGUACUGGUCUCACUGAUUCCUCCUUCCUGAUGAGCCGUAAUGCCAUUAAUUUGGUGUUGCGGGGAAUUUGGACUGUUACUUUGAAAAAAUUAGAGUGUUUAAAGCAAGCUAACGCUUGAAUACAUUAGCAUGGAAUAAUGAAAUAGGACGUUCGAUCCUAUUUUGUUGGUUUCUAGGAUUGACGUAAUGAUUAAUAGGGAUAGUUGGGGGCAUUGGUAUUCAAUUGUCAGAGGUGAAAUUCUUGGAUUUAUUGAAGACUAACUACUGCGAAAGCAUUUGCCAAGGAUGUUUUCAUUAAUCAAGAACGAAAGUUAGGGGAUCGAAGACGAUCAGAUACCGUCGUAGUCUUAACCAUAAACUAUGCCGACUAGGGAUCGGAUGAUGUUAAUUUUUUAAUGACUCAUUCGGCGCCUUACGGGAAACCAAAGUGUUUGGGUUC
rnacentral:rRNA from 1 species